rnacentral:tRNA from 1 species
AUUAUUUUAGCAAAUUAGUGCAUUAAAUUUAGAAUUUAAAUAAUAUAUAAUA